UCACCGAGGACAGGUGAGCCAAGUUCCCA
rnacentral:piRNA from 1 species